GGUGGUGCAUGGUUGUCGUCAGCUCGUGUCGUGAGAUGUUGGGUUAAGUCCCGCAACGAGCGCAACCCUUAAGCUUAGUUGCCAGCAUUAAGUUGGGCACUCUAAGUUGACUGCCGGUGACAAACCGGAGGAAGGUGGGGAUGACGUCAAAUCAUCAUGCCCCUUAUGAUUUGGGCUACACACGUGCUACAAUGGACAAUACAAAGGGCAGCUAAACCGCGAGGUCAUGCAAAUCCCAUAAAGUUGUUCUCAGUUCGGAUUGUAGUCUGCAACUCGACUACAUGAAGCUGGAAUCGCUAGUAAUCGUAGAUCAGCAUGCUACGGUGAAUACGUUCCCGGGUCCUGUACACACCGCCCGUCACACCACGAGAGUUUGUAACACCCGAAGCCGGUGGAGUAACCAUUUAUGGAGCUAGCCGUCGAAGGUGGGACAAAUGAUUGGGGUGAAGUCGUAACAAGGUAGCCGUAUCGGAAGGUGCGGCUGGAUCACCUC
rnacentral:rRNA from 1 species